GACGAGCCACACGAACGUUAUUCGGAAUUACUGGGCUUAAAGGGUGCGUAGGCGGUGCGGAAAGUUGGGUGUGAAAUCCCUCGGCUCAACCGAGGAACUGCGCCCAAAACUACCGUACUUGAGGAAGAUAGAGGUGAGCGGAACUCACGGUGGAGCGGUGAAAUGCGUUGAUAUCGUGAGGAACACCCGUGGCGAAAGCGGCUCACUGGGUCUUUUCUGACGCUGAUGCACGAAAGCUAGGGGAGCAAACAGG
rnacentral:rRNA from 1 species